CAACCUGCCGACAACACUGGGAUAGCCUUUCGAAAGAAAGAUUAAUACCGGAUGGCAUAGUCUUCCCGCAUGGGAUGAUUAUUAAAGAAUUUCGGUUGUCGAUGGGGAUGCGUUCCAUUAGGCAGUUGGCGGGGUAACGGCCCACCAAACCUACGAUGGAUAGGGGUUCUGAGAGGAAGGUCCCCCACAUUGGAACUGAGACACGGUCCAAACUCCUACGGGAGGCAGCAGUGAGGAAUAUUGGUCAAUGGACGAGAGUCUGAACCAGCCAAGUAGCGUGAAGGAUGACUGCCCUAUGGGUUGUAAACUUCUUUUGUACGGGAAUAAAGUGAGCCACGUGUGGCUUUUUGUAAGUACCGUAUGAAUAAGGAUCGGCUAACUCCGUGCCAGCAGCCGCGGUAAUACGGAGGAUCCGAGCGUUAUCCGGAUUUAUUGGGUUUAAAGGGAGCGUAGGCGGGUUGUUAAGUCAGUUGUGAAAGUUUGCGGCUCAACCGUAAAAUUGCAGUUGAUACUGGCGACCUUGAGUGCAACAGAGGUAGGCGGAAUUCGUGGUGUAGCGGUGAAAUGCUUAGAUAUCACGAAGAACUCCGAUUG
rnacentral:rRNA from 1 species